rnacentral:rRNA from 1 species
CCUACGGGUGGCAGCAGUGAGGAAUAUUGGUCAAUGGGCUUACGCCUGAACCAGCCAAGUCGCGUGAGGGAAGACUGCCCUAUGGGUUGUAAACCUCUUUUGUCAGGGAGCAACGCCGGCUACGUGUAGCCGGACUGAGAGUACCUGAAGAAAAAGCAUCGGCUAACUCCGUGCCAGCAGCCGCGGUAAUACGGAGGAUGCGAGCGUUAUCCGGAUUUAUUGGGUUUAAAGGGUGCGUAGGCGGACUGGAAAGUCAGCGGUAAAAUCGAGAGGCUCAACCUCUUUCCGCCGUUGAAACUGUCGGUCUUGAGUGGGCGAGAAGUAUGCGGAAGGCGUGGUGUAGCGGUGAAAUGCAUAGAUAUCACGCAGAACUCCGAUUGCGAAGGCAGCAUACCGGCGCCCGACUGACGCUGAGGCACGAAAGCGUGGGUAUCGAACAGGAUUAGAUACCCCAGUAGUC